GUGUUGUACGAAAGGAGAGAAGGUUAGCACUUCCCUUGAUAAGGAUGGACAACACAUAACGUCAAGGCACUGUCGCACUGUCGCACUGUGUGU
rnacentral:ncRNA from 1 species